GGUUAAGCGACUAAGCGUACACGGUGGAUGCCCUGGCAGUCAGAGGCGAUGAAGGGCGUGCUAAUCUGCGAUAAGCGCCGGUAAGGUGAUAUGAACCGUUAUAACCGGCGAUACCCGAAUGGGGAAACCCAGUGUGACUCGUCACACUAUCAUUAACUGAAUCCAUAGGUUAAUGAGGCGAACCGGGGGAACUGAAACAUCUAAGUACCCCGAGGAAAAGAAAUCAACCGAGAUUCCCCCAGUAGCGGCGAGCGAACGGGGAGGAGCCCAGAGCCUGAAUCAGCAUGUGUGUUAGUGGAAGCGUCUGGAAAGGCGCGCGAUACAGGGUGACAGCCCCGUACACAAAAGCGCAUGUGCUGUGAGCUCGAUGAGUAGGGCGGGACACGUGGUAUCCUGUCUGAAUAUGGGGGGACCAUCCUCCAAGGCUAAAUACUCCUGACUGACCGAUAGUGAACCAGUACCGUGAGGGAAAGGCGAAAAGAACCCCGGCGAGGGGAGUGAAAAAGAACCUGAAACCGUGUACGUACAAGCAGUGGGAGCCCCACCACCAAAGCAUUUGCUGUACCGCGUUGACGGAGCGAAGCGACGUCAAACCGAUAAAACAGCAGUGUAAAGUGAGCCGCAGGGCGCUUUGCGCGACAGCGCAAAGGCAGGCGGUUUCGCGUAGCGAAAGCGAAUGCUUUGGGGUGGGGUGACUGCGUACCUUUUGUAUAAUGGGUCAGCGACUUAUAUUCUGUAGCAAGGUUAACCGAAUAGGGGAGCCGGAGGGAAACCGAGUCUUAAUUGGGCGUUAAGUUGCAGGGUAUAGACCCGAAACCCGGUGAUCUAGCCAUGGGCAGGUUGAAGGUUGGGUAACACUAACUGGAGGACCGAACCGACUAAUGUUGAAAAAUUAGCGGAUGACCUGUGGCUGGGGGUGAAAGGCCAAUCAAACCGGGAGAUAGCUGGUUCUCCCCGAAAGCUAUUUAGGUAGCGCCUCGUGAAUUCAUCUCCGGGGGUAGAGCACUGUUUCGGCUAGGGGGCCAUCCCGGCUUACCAACCCGAUGCAAACUGCGAAUACCGGAGAAUGUUAUCACGGGAGACACACGGCGGGUGCUAACGUCCGUCGUGAAGAGGGAAACAACCCAGACCGCCAGCUAAGGUCCCAAAGUCAUGGUUAAGUGGGAAACGAUGUGGGAAGGCCCAGACAGCCAGGAUGUUGGCUUAGAAGCAGCCAUCAUUUAAAGAAAGCGUAAUAGCUCACUGGUCGAGUCGGCCUGCGCGGAAGAUGUAACGGGGCUAAACCAUGCACCGAAGCUGCGGCAGCGACACUGUGUGUUGUUGGGUAGGGGAGCGUUCUGUAAGCCUGUGAAGGUGUGUCGUGAGGCAUGCUGGAGGUAUCAGAAGUGCGAAUGCUGACAUAAGUAACGAUAAAGCGGGUGAAAAGCCCGCUCGCCGGAAGACCAAGGGUUCCUGUCCAACGUUAAUCGGGGCAGGGUGAGUCGACCCCUAAGGCGAGGCCGAAAGGCGUAGUCGAUGGGAAACGGGUUAAUAUUCCCGUACUUGGUGUUACUGCGAAGGGGGGACGGAGAAGGCUAUGUUGGCCGGGCGACGGUUGUCCCGGUUUAAGCGUGUAGGUGUGUGUUCCAGGUAAAUCCGGUUCACUUUAACACUGAGGCGUGACGACGAGGCACUACGGUGCUGAAGCAACAAAUGCCCUGCUUCCAGGAAAAGCCUCUAAGCAUCAGGUAACAUCAAAUCGUACCCCAAACCGACACAGGUGGUCAGGUAGAGAAUACCAAGGCGCUUGAGAGAACUCGGGUGAAGGAACUAGGCAAAAUGGUGCCGUAACUUCGGGAGAAGGCACGCUGACACGUAGGUGAAGUGAUUUACUCAUGGAGCUGAAGUCAGUCGAAGAUACCAGCUGGCUGCAACUGUUUAUUAAAAACACAGCACUGUGCAAACACGAAAGUGGACGUAUACGGUGUGACGCCUGCCCGGUGCCGGAAGGUUAAUUGAUGGGGUCAGCGCAAGCGAAGCUCCUGAUCGAAGCCCCGGUAAACGGCGGCCGUAACUAUAACGGUCCUAAGGUAGCGAAAUUCCUUGUCGGGUAAGUUCCGACCUGCACGAAUGGCGUAAUGAUGGCCAGGCUGUCUCCACCCGAGACUCAGUGAAAUUGAACUCGCUGUGAAGAUGCAGUGUACCCGCGGCAAGACGGAAAGACCCCGUGAACCUUUACUAUAGCUUGACACUGAACAUUGAGCCUUGAUGUGUAGGAUAGGUGGGAGGCUUUGAAGUGUGGACGCCAGUCUGCAUGGAGCCGACCUUGAAAUACCACCCUUUAAUGUUUGAUGUUCUAACGUGGACCCGUUACCCGGGUUGCGGACAGUGUCUGGUGGGUAGUUUGACUGGGGCGGUCUCCUCCUAAAGAGUAACGGAGGAGCACGAAGGUUGGCUAAUCCUGGUCGGACAUCAGGAGGUUAGUGCAAUGGCAUAAGCCAGCUUGACUGCGAGCGUGACGGCGCGAGCAGGUGCGAAAGCAGGUCAUAGUGAUCCGGUGGUUCUGAAUGGAAGGGCCAUCGCUCAACGGAUAAAAGGUACUCCGGGGAUAACAGGCUGAUACCGCCCAAGAGUUCAUAUCGACGGCGGUGUUUGGCACCUCGAUGUCGGCUCAUCACAUCCUGGGGCUGAAGUAGGUCCCAAGGGUAUGGCUGUUCGCCAUUUAAAGUGGUACGCGAGCUGGGUUUAGAACGUCGUGAGACAGUUCGGUCCCUAUCUGCCGUGGGCGCUGGAGAACUGAGGGGGGCUGCUCCUAGUACGAGAGGACCGGAGUGGACGCAUCACUGGUGUUCGGGUUGUCAUGCCAAUGGCACUGCCCGGUAGCUAAAUGCGGAAGAGAUAAGUGCUGAAAGCAUCUAAGCACGAAACUUGCCCCGAGAUGAGUUCUCCCUGAGACUUAGAGUCUCCUGAAGGAACGUUGAAGACGACGACGUUGAUAGGCCGGGUGUGUAAGCGCAGCGAUGCGUUGAGCUAACCGGUACUAAUGAACCGUGAGGCUUAACCUU
rnacentral:rRNA from 3 species